GGUGUGCUGGAGAGGAGACCAAGUGUUACAACUCAGAUCUAUCAGCUUAUCAAAGGAGGAAGAAAGCUAGCUCUUGGGUGAAAUUUCCCAAUGUUUAAAUAAAGGCAGCUAAUGCAAGUUUUGCCCUAAAAACGUCAUGUAAGUCAGUGGAGCACAGUGGCUCAGGCCUGUAAUCCCAGCACUUUGGGAGGCUGAGGUGGGUGGAUUGCCCGAUCUCAGGAGUUCGAGACCAACCUGGGCAACACAGUGAAACCCCAUCUCUACUAAAAUACAAAAAAUUAGCCGGGCGUGCCCUGUAAUCCCAGCUACUCGGGAGGCUGAGACAGGAGAAUUAUUUGAACCCGGGAGGCGGACAUUGUAGUGAGCCAGGAUUGCGCCACUGCAUUCCAGCCUGGGUCACAGAGCGAGACUCCAUCUAAAAAAAAAAAACAAAACAAAAAAGCAAAAAUAACAACAACAACAAAAAAAACAAAAGCAUCACACAGGUCAAUCAUGUGGCACAAUGAAGCAUGAUUAAGCAAGACCUGAAUCUGAUUCUUGAGUCUCCAGUUCUGGUUCUCUGGGGAAGUAGGAAACUGAUGGAAUGGAGAAAGCCAAGAGUGGGUGGAAUUCCAUCCACCGGAUGGUCAAGAACUCUAGACUUCAGAAGCUCCUGGCAAGUUUCUCCUUCCAUCUUGUGACUGUCUAGGAAGAACACAUGUAAUACAUUUCAGUAGGCUCCCAACAGCACCUCAGAGACUUUUAAAAGGUCAAGAGCUUUCUUAAGAACUACUGGAGAGUAACUUGGGUGCUGGGGAAAAUUAAGAUUAAUGUACAUUGGAAGUUAAAUCCUGCCUUUUUUUUUCACCCCCUAGGAAAACUCUUAAUGUUAGCAGAAGCCUGGAUCAGCUGAGAAAGCUACAGGUUUUCUGUUCCAAAAAUGCUUUUGUUGCUAAUUAAAAUUAGUCUAAUUUUGAAAUGAUCACAUCAUUAAAGAGUAUUUCAACUGAUAUUGAUUUGAUGAUACCUACAAACAUCUUAGAAUAAAGAGGCUGGUGUUUUAGCAUUAAAAGGUGCUCUGAUUAAACCUAAAUCUGUGAAAUUGAUGACAUGAGCUUCUGGUACCUCUUCAUUCGUUUUUUUUCCCCCUUCUGCAUAAAAUAAUUAUGAAUGCUUCACUCCAUGCAAUCCACGUUUAUUUUAUUUUUUACAGGGUUGGGGGAGGGCUGGAUUAAGUGCUAGCUCUUUGCUUGUCUAUGGUAUUGCUCUAGCAAUAUCUUAAUUAAGUCUAGAGUCAAGAUGAAAUAUGUGCCCCAAGUAUGUUUCUAAUCCUUUCAAACUUGCAGGUUUGAUGUGUGAUCCUGGGCCAAGUCUUUAGAAUGGUGUCUCUUAUGUCAAUAAAUCUUCUGAGACGUGUCAGCCAGGUCAUUGACAUCUUUGGUGAAAUGGAGAACUGGCUCUCAGAGGGGCUGCAGGUUGAAGGCACAGUCCCAGAGGAUUUUCACCUUCUUCCCCAGGGCAGGGCUUUUUCCACAGUCUCCUCUGCAUAAAUAUUCUGUGCAUUCAUGUCUCCUUUCCUCUACUUGCCUGGCAGGUCAACUCCAUACCUUCUCCUCUUGGCCUAUCCAAACUCUAACCACCUGCAAAAGCCAGUCCUGAAAUCAAGAAGGUUUCUCUCCUUUAUCUCUUGCAGGAUUUACCAAUGAUGCCAACCAUUUGGAUGCUCAAUCAAAGUACUUUAGCAUAUUUGUAUUAAGUACCUGGAUUCAUCCAUUUGACACAUAUCAUAGAACCCAUGCUCUCUUAGAGUAAUGAGAAAGGCAGACAGGCAGAUGUGAUCACUGCUCCUAGGACAUUCACAUUCAGAGGUGUGAUAGGGAGUAAACAGUGAGGCACACGCAGCAUUUCACAUUGUAAAAUGCUCACAAAGGGAGUGAAGAGGGCGGCAGGACAGGAAGAUUGGUGAUAGGAAGCCAUCUGAACAAAUAACCUUUUACCCCUCUCCCAAGAUAAGGAAGACAUGUCCAGUGAGUGGUGAUUCACUUCUCAUGUUUGGGUAUAUCUGAUAAGGAAAGUCAAGGCUGCUGGACCUUGGCCAUGACCUAAGGAUGUAGCAGAACUUCAUGAGGAUGACCUCUGGAGAGGAUGGCUUUGGGGCUGAGACCUAUAGAUGAGAAGGGAAGAGCCUUUCAGGAAGUCCAUGUUGUUUCCUGGAGUCCACUGUGCAUUCAUCUAAUCUUUCCACCUCCUAGACUGAGAAACUGAGAAUGCCUUAAAGGCCAGAUUGGCUAAAUUCAUAUGGAUAGGGCCCCUGAAUUCUGGCAGUGGGUGGGCCUUCUAGGUGGUACCCUUCCCAGUAGAUACUUGCUGAGCCUAACUGAAGGAGAAGCAGUCCAGACUCUUCCCAUUCCCUAAAGAGAAAAAAGAUGAGAGCAAUUCAGGAUGACAAUGUGAACCUGAGCAUGGAAACCUCACUUCUAGAAGUGAUUAUUUUUCUUAGACUUCAUGUCACCAGUACUUCGCAAGUUGAAAUGAAAACCACAGAGGCGCUUCACCAUUUAUUGCGAGUGAAGAAAACUUCUAAGCUUCUUUUCUGCCCUGACUUUCCUUCUAGACUUUAGAACACCUCUCAUGGCCCAGCCAUAAGGCUUUCCUCAACACAGAGUAGGGCUGAAACAUCUAGCUUAUGGUGUGAUUAUUUGGGGCCACACUCUUAUUCCUUUAAGACCAGCCCCUCCCAGAAGAUCUUGCCUGAUUCCUCCUUAAGAAUCAGUGCAAGUGCCCUAGAAGUACAAGCAGGCCAGGCCAUGGUGUGUGUUUGCCCAACAAUGUUUUAAGACUCUCUAGUACAGUGGGGAUUGACCAGAGCUGCUUCCUUUGACCUCAAAGACUGUCAUAUAGUCAUGAUCUGGAGAGUCUGUGGAUUGAGCACCUGAGCCAGAGUGACCAGCAGCAACUUGUCUGGGCAUCUUGCAAGUAACUUUUUUUUUGUUUAUUUUUGAGACAAAGUCUUGCUCUGUCACUUGGGUUUGAGUGCAGUGGUGUUAACAUAGCUCACUGCAGCCUCGAAUUCCUGGCCUCAAGAGAUUCUUCUGCCUCAGCCUCCCAAGUAGCUGGGACCACAGAUGCACACCACCAUGCCUGGAUAAUUCCUUUUUAGUUUUUGUAGAGAUAGGAUCUCCCAGUGUUGCCCAAGCUGAUCUCUAACUCCUGGCCUCAAGCAGUCCUCCCGCUUCAGCCACCCGAAGUGCUGAGACUACAGGUGUGAGUCACUGUGCCCAGCAACAAAGAACCUUUUACCACCCUCCAAGGUAAGGAAGAAGUUUCCAGUGAGGGGUGAAAGACAGUGACUUGGCUUCUCAUGUUUGGGGUAUAUCUGUUAAGGAAAGUCAAGGCUGUUGGGAUCCAGCCAUGACCCAAGGAUUUAGCAGAACUUCACUGAAUGUUUUGAAUCAGCCCAUAUGGCUUCAGAUUGGAUGUCCCUUUGGUGCUGGGCUGGACCUUUGGCUCUAAGCCUCUGCACAAUCAUGAAUCUGUACAAUCAUGAAAAGCAGAGUUCACAUUUCCCCACUCUGUGAGCUACUAGCCACAAUGACCAGUAGGUCUCACGAGUCCUUCCCCCUACCCUUCCCUUGAAGGCAACCUCUUGGCUUUCAUCAUCAUGUUUGGCCACCUUUGGGGAAAAGGUAGAACAGUUAACAUCUGAGGCCACUUUCAAGACAAUAUGUCUCAAGCUUCGUCCCCCAUGGUGGUGGCACAUUGUGAAGGAGGGAACAAAGAAACCACUUUUUCUAUCAGGGACUUUCCAAAGAUAAGAUAAUUUUGUUCGUCUUCUGACCUAUAAAAAAGUUAUCAAAAAAACUCUAGCAACAUUCAUUUUCAUCUGCAUAUUAUAUUUACAAUGACUCCAGAAUAGAAUACAAAUACACACAAUGAGAUUUCUCAUUGCUUGGGAUUGUCUUUGCCUCCAAACAUUCCAGAUACAUCACACAGCUGUUGAUUUCAAUGCCCUUGGAGAGACACUUCAACACACAGUACCAAGUUUAAAUGCCUACUUUAAAGAGGAACCCUGAAUGCAGGACAGAUAAUACUUUAGCUCUUGAUUUCAAUGAUUUUACUGUUUGUAUUGAGGCUUUGUGGGGUGUGUUUAUUUAUUUAUUCCUGAUACACAGAGUCUCACUCUGUCACCCAGGCUAGAGUGCGGUGGUGCGAUCAUGACUUAUUGUAGCCUUGAACGCCUGGGCUCAACCAGUCCUCCAAUUCAGCCUCCCAAGUAGGACCACACGUGCAUGCCACCAUGCCAAGCUAAAUUAUCUCUCUCUCUUUUUUUUUUUGUAGAGAUGGGGUCUCACUACAUUGCCCAGGCUGGUCUCAAACUCCUAGGCUCAAGCAAUCCUCCUGCCUUGGCCUCCCAAAGUGCUUCUUGUAUUCUUACUGGUUGCAUGAGUUCUAGUUGAAUGAAUACCAGAAGUAAAUAUUGUAUGGUAUCAAACACGCAAGGUAGCACACAGUGAGGGUGUACCAAGUGGAAAUUUAGGAACUCAGCUGAAGCCCAAGUGACUGGCUCAUGUGAGGCUCCCACCAAGCUGUAAUUAUAGAUCAGCGGCAAGCCACCCAGUGACUGUCCCUCCAGGGGUCUGCCAGUCCUGUGAGAGGAGCCAGGCUCUAUGGUGCUGAUCAGCACACUCCCACUUUCCUCGGAUGGAUCUUUCUGAUGGACAGCCUGCUGGCUCCUGUGGGAAAAGAGAGGUUAACAGAAAAGGACAGAGGAGGGGCAGGGGAGAAACUCCUCUGACUGGAGACCAUUGUGUGCACAGGCCCCGCUCGUCUAUCUGCUGGGGAUGAUGCCUGGCCCUAGUGUGUGAGGUCCCGCUCAUCUGGGUUCCUAUAAAUCUUUGAGAACUCUGUAAGAUAAGCCGAGGGUCACCAAGCCCCACCCCACAUCACGAGUCCAGUAUGGGCUGACCCAUUCCAACACCCAGUGUCAGUAUCUGCAUCACUGUGGCUUGGGGCUAUUUUUUUUUUUUUUCAGAGCACUGAAGGCUACUCUGCCUGGACACAACAGGUGGGAUGUGCCAAGGAAGGAAGGAACACUCCCAGCAGCAGCCCUCAGCCAAUGACUACUGGGAGUUGCAGAGAACCACAGCACUUCCUUCACACUCCACCGGGAACGUCCUAGCAUCUCCUAUGGCGCCAGGCAUCAUUGUGGUGGCCAUCUUCACAAUGCAUUUGCAGGUGGAAGAACUGUCUGUGCCACAGUCGCAUUCCUGCCAGCAUUUCCUAGGGAGCUGAAUAAGGAGAACACAUGGACACAGGGAGGGGAACAACACGCACUGGGGCCUGUCGGCGGGCAGGGGGAGGGAGAGCACAGGAUAAAUAGCUAAUGCAUGCAGGGCUUGAUACCUAGGUCAUGGGUUGAUAGGUACAGCAAACUACCAUGGCACACAUUUACCUGUGUAACAAACCUGCACAGUCAGAUCUUUGUUCAGGGUCAGCUUCUGGAGCAAUGCAAACUGAGACCCCUGAACUCUUGGAAUGUCAGUCAGGUACCUGGUGGGCAGGUUCCUGGACCUCUCGUUUUUUACUGACUAUGUAGGAACUCAGAUCAACUUGCCCUCACCUCUGCCCUGCAGUGGAUGUUCUGGCAAGGAGAUCAGAUAAGGAAACAGCCCUUUCCUACAGAGAGAAAGAACCCUCAAAAGAGAGGAUCUGGUAGCGAUUUCCUGGAGCAGGGUUGCAAAGAGAACUCCUAAUUUUAGUAAAGGAAUAAAAGAAGGUUCCUGCCAGGAAGGAUAAUGAUAGGAUUUUGAAGGGUCUACAGGAGCUGGAAAAUCAAAUGGGAUCAGAAAAAUCACACAGGUGGGAAUAUUCCAGGACAACAUGGAGCACCAUGAGUAGGUGGUUUUGGCUGGAGUGGAUGAAGGGCUUAUGAAGGGAGGAGACCUGGAAGAGAAAGUGGCAAAAGAACAUUAGGAAGAUGCAGGAGGUUGCUGGGCCCUAUGCAUCACUCACAGAAGAAUUUAGAAUAGAUAUGAAGCAUGUAUCGAUGCUCCUAUCUAUGGAAUUAAAUUGAAAUAAGCCCUCCUCGGUCUAGCUUUGGACCCAAGCCAUUCAAAGGCUUAAGGGAAUAAAACAGAAAAAAAAAAGAUAAGAAAUGAGCUCAACCUGUCAACUGUGAUGAUAACAGUGAUUGCAACAUUGAUAAAGUGCUUUAGUAGAAAUAUGGAAUUUAGAAGAAAAUGAAAUGAAGGCAGCAGACUAUUCUCACUGACAGUGAUAUUGGCAAGCAGGAAGGCUUGACUGCUCUGAGACGGGGCAUCCCCAGCCACCCCACACCUUGGGGUUCCCACAAGCCUGGGUUCAGGGGCUUAGUUUUUCAGGAUGGGAACCCAUCCCAUUGUAUUUUUUAGCUGGAUUCAAAAUCUCCCAUUCUGGAAAUGAUGGGAAGCCAAGGUCCUGAGUUCACUUUAUUAGUUUUGGGGAGAGCAAUAAAAGAGUCUAAGAUAGAAAGUCAGGGCAAAGGCAAUUGCCUGUUCACAGGAUCUCUCCCACACACCUCCUUGGCUUAGUUUCAUGGAGGCUGCAUGCAAGAAAUAAAUAAGCCUCGUCCAAGGCUCAGGCUGCCUAAAAUCAGAUCUCUGUAUAUCUCUAAGCAUCCUGGCAAUACUUCCUGGGAGUGGUAAGUCCACUGUACUGAACGGGGAUCAGUGCUGGGGUUAAAUACGUUUUUUUCCUUUUUUCCUUUUGGUAAACACCUUUGAACUUUUUAUCAAAGUGUAAUGUGCAUAUGGCUGUGGAGAAAUAAAAAUGCUUUUACACUGUUGGUGGGGAUGUAAAUUAGUUCAACCAUUGUGGAAGACAGUGUGGCAAUUCCUCAAAGACCUAGAAUCAGAAAUACCAUUUGGCCCAGCAAUCCUAUUACUGGGUAUAUACCCAAAGGAAUAUAAAUUACUCUAUUAUAAAGAUACAUGCAUGCGUAUAUUCAUUGCAGCACUAUUCACAAUAGCAAGUACAUGGAAUUAAUCCAAAUGCACAUCAAUGAUAGACUGGAUACAGAAAAUGUGGUACAUAUACAUCAUGCAACACUAUGCAGCCAUAAAAA